CCUAAAAGAGGAUACUUAAACAGAACGGAUCCCUGACCACCUACCUCUAAACGAAGAUAGCAUCUGCUCAGGGAUUGCGGGACUCUGAUUCCUGAUGGCUGAAGCAGGAAAGUCCCAUUUUCUGGACGCACAGAGGGCCACCUUAGUACGAGACAUCAGUGAAGUGGCAUCAACAUUGGAUAUAUUGCUGGAGAAGAGGAUGCUGACCAUGGAGCAGUACUCCAAUAUACUAUCGCAACCGACCACCCAGCAGAAGAUGAGAAAAUUGCUGGAUUAUAGCCGGGGGUGGAGCUUGCCCUCCAGGGAAAAGCUUGCCCGCUUUCUGAAAGAUGAAAAUACGAAGGUCGCCGUAUUUAAGCACUGGAAGCCGAUCUCCAGUUCACCUGCUGUAAAAAAACAAGUAGUACUCACGUAUGAAGUGCAUCCGUAUAGAUGAUAUUAGAUGAAAAUUUACGGCGCUAUAUAAAUAAAUCAUUCUGUCAUUGGCCCAGUGCCUCUAAGGGGAAGACUCGGGAUCCUGACAUUGUAUCAAUUGUUUUUCUUCUAUAAUCUUGUUACUUUGUGUAAUGUUUCUAAAUAAACUACAGUGCCUGGAAAAAGUA